rnacentral:lncRNA from 1 species
UUCUUUCUAUCUAACAUAGUAUACGGAUCUGCUCGUCCUCAUCAGCCGUAGAUAAAGCACGACGAGCGUCGAACAUAAGACCUGACAUAGAAUCAGUCUACAUAAUAAAAACAAAACUAGUAAUAUAUUGUAAAAUAUAAAACAAAAAUAUAACAGAAGUACAUAAAAUAUUUUUUAAUUUUAAUUAUUAAAAAUAAAAAUAUUAAUAU